rnacentral:rRNA from 1 species
UACGGAGGGUGCGAGCGUUAAUCGGAAUUACUGGGCGUAAAGAGUGCGUAGGUGGUUGUAUAAGUUAUCUGUGAAAUCCCUGGGCUCAACCUGGGCAGGUCAGAUAAUACUGUAUGACUCGAGUAUGGGAGAGGGUAGUGGAAUUUCCGGUGUAGCGGUGAAAUGCGUAGAGAUCGGAAGGAACACCAGUGGCGAAGGCGGCUACCUGGCCUAAUACUGACACUGAGGCACGAAAGCGUGGGGAGCAAACAGGAUUAGAUACCCUGGUAGUCCACGCUGUAAACGAUGUCAACUAGCUGUUGGUUAUAUAAAAAUAAUUAGUGGCGCAGCAAACGCGAUAAGUUGACCGCCUGGGGAGUACGGUCGCAAGAUUAAA